rnacentral:rRNA from 1 species
UCGCUAAAAGAUGGGCCCGCAUCUGAUUAGCUAGUUGGUGAGAUAACAGCCCACCAAGGCGACGAUCAGUAGCCGACCUGAGAGGGUGACCGGCCACAUUGGGACUGAGACACGGCCCAAACUCCUACGGGAGGCAGCAGUGGGGAAUAUUGCACAAUGGGGGGAACCCUGAUGCAGCAACGCCGCGUGAAGGAAGACGGUUUUCGGAUUGUAAACUUCUAUCAAUAGGGAAGAAAGAAAUGACGGUACCUAAAUAAGAAGCCCCGGCUAACUACGUGCCAGCAGCCGCGGUAAUACGUAGGGGGCAAGCGUUAUCCGGAAUUACUGGGUGUAAAGGGAGAGUAGGCGGCAAGGUAAGCGAUAUGUGAAAGCCUUAGGCUUAACCUGAGGAUUGCAUAACGAACUAUCUAGCUAGAGUACAGGAGAGGAAAGCGGAAUUCCUAGUGUAGCGGUGAAAUGCGUAGAUAUUAGGAAGAACACCAGUGGCGAAGGCGGCUUUCUGGACUGAAACUGACGCUGAGGCUCGAAAGCGUGGGGAGCGAACAGGAUUAGAUACCCUGGUAGUCCACGCUGUAAACGAUGAGUGCUAGGUGUCGGGGAGGAAUCCUCG